rnacentral:rRNA from 1 species
GAUGAACGCUGGCGGCGUGCCUAAUACAUGCAAGUCGAGCGAACGGACGAGAAGCUUGCUUCUCUGAUGUUAGCGGCGGACGGGUGAGUAACACGUGGAUAACCUACCUAUAAGACUGGGAUAACUUCGGGAAACCGUAGCUAAUACCGGAUAAUAUUUUGAACCGCAUGGUUCAAAAGUGAAAGACGGUCUUGCUGUCACUUAUAGAUGGAUCCGCGCUGCAUUAGCUAGUUGGUAAGGUAACGGCUUACCAAGGCAACGAUGCAUAGCCGACCUGAGAGGGUGAUCGGCCACACUGGAACUUAGACACGGUCCAGACUCCUACGGGAGGCAGCAGAAGGGAAUCUUCCGCAAUGGGCGAAAGCAUGACGGAGCAACGCCGCGUGAGUGAUGAAGGUCUUCGGAUCGUAAAACUCUGUUAUUAGGGAAGAACAUAUGUGUAAGUAACUGUGCACAUCUUGACGGUACCUAAUCAGAAAGCCACGGCUAACUACGUG